GCCCAGACUCCUACGGGAGGCAGCAGUGGGGAAUAUUGCACAAUGGGCGAAAGCCUGAUGCAGCAACGCCGCGUGAAGGAAGAAGGCCUUCGGGUCGUAAACUUCUGUCCUUGGGGAAGAAGAACUGACGGUACCCAAGGAGGAAGCCCCGGCUAACUACGUGCCAGCAGCCGCGGUAAUACGUAGGUGGCAAGCGUUAUCCGGAUUUACUGGGUGUAAAGGGCGUGUAGGCGGGACUGCAAGUCAGAUGUGAAAACCAUGGGCUCAACCUGUGGCCUGCAUUUGAAACUGUAGUUCUUGAGUACUGGAGAGGCAGACGGAAUUCCUAGUGUAGCGGUGAAAUGCGUAGAUAUUAGGAGGAACACCAGUGGCGAAGGCGGUCUGCUGGACAGCAACUGACGCUGAGGCGCGAAAGCGUGGGGAGCAAACAGGAUUAGAUACCCCCGUA
rnacentral:rRNA from 1 species